rnacentral:rRNA from 1 species
GACGAACGCUGGCGGCGUGCUUAACACAUGCAAGUCGAACGGUGAAAGCGGAGCUUGCUCCGCUGGAUCAGUGGCGAACGGGUGAGUAACACGUGGGCAACCUGCCCCUCACUUCGGGAUAACUCCGGGAAACCGGGGCUAAUACCGGAUAUGACCUCCUUGGGCAUCCUUGGAGGUGGAAAGUUUUUCGGUGAGGGAUGGGCCCGCGGCCUAUCAGCUUGUUGGUGAGGUAGUGGCUCACCAAGGCGACGACGGGUAGCCGGCCUGAGAGGGCGACCGACCACACUGGGACUGAGACACGGCCCAGACUCCUACGGGAGGCAGCAGUGGGGAAUAUUGCGCAAGGGGCGAAAGCCUGACGCAGCAACGCCGCGUGCGGGAUGACGGCCUUCGGGUUGUAAACCGCUUUCAGCAGGGAAGAAGCCGCAAGGUGACGGUACCUGCAGAAGAAGCACCGGCUAACUACGUGCCAGCCGCCGCGGUAA